rnacentral:lncRNA from 1 species
ACUACAACUCAUUCUCACCCCACCAUUCAUUCUCAUUCGUUUUCAUAGUGUCCCCCCACCCCACUUGUCCUUGGAUCAAAAGAGGGCUUGGCUGUGGUCUCAGGAAGCAAGGGCAUUGCUUGCUAUUUGGGGGAAGGCAACACUUACAUGCCUGAACACAGUCUGCCUUUACAGAACUUGAAGAACUCUGAUGAAAGAAGAGAGAUGCUGUUGAUGCUGGUGGUCGUGGUGAUGAGGAUGAAGAUAAAGGUGCUACAGCCCAAGUGCCUGUAGCGAGGAUGCUGCGCUCCAGUCCAGAGCAAUAGCUCAAGCCCAAAGCUGCCGCUAAGCAGUCCUUCGCCGAGGCCCCGCCCCCAGCCAGAGGCCCCGCCUCCCUAGCACGCUCCCUCUCAACGG